GCUGGGCAUGGUGGCGCACGCCUGUAAUCCCAGCUACUUGGGAGGCUGAGGCAGGAGAAUCACUUGAACCCAGGAGGCGGAGGUUGUGGUGAGCCAGGAUUGCACCACUGCACUCCAGCCUGGGCAACAGAGUGAGACUCUGUCUCAA
rnacentral:SRP_RNA from 1 species